rnacentral:snoRNA from 2 species
GAAUGAAAUGAUGAUUGUGAUAUUGUUUCCCUAUUGGUUUGAUAGCCGUAAUGAUGGCAUCUUAGUAUUAGCUCUAUCUGAUCAUUC